AUACCAGAGCUCAUCAGGCUCUCAAGAUAUAACAAAAACAAACGAACUUCCUCCAAUUAUCUGAUCUAUUCUUCCCUGUUUCAUCUUUCUUUUACUCACCAUGUCGACCUGUGGCAACUGCGACUGCGCUGACAAGAGCCAGUGCGUGAAGAAGGGAAACAGCUACGGAAUGGAGAUCGUUGAGACCCAAAAGAGCUACUAUGAAGAUGCCGUGGUUGAGGUUAUGGCUGCAGCGGAGCACGACGGCAAGUGCAAGUGCGGAGCUGGAUGCACUUGCACUUCCUGCACUUGUGGACAUUAAACAUAUGCAGUACUGAUAUGAUACUACAGAAUUGUGUGGGAACCAUCAAUUAA